CAGUAGCCACGGUAAUACGAAGGGUGCAAGCGUUACUCGGAAUUACUGGGCGUAAAGCGUGCGCAGGCGGUUAUAUAAGACAGAUGUGAAAUCCCCGGGCUCAACCUGGGAACUGCAUUUGUGACUGUAUAGCUAGAGUACGGCAGAGGGGGAUGGAAUUCCGCGUGUAGCAGUGAAAUGCGUAGAUAUGCGGAGGAACACCGAUGGCGAAGGCAAUCCCCUGGGCCUGUACUGACGCUCAUGCACGAAAGCGUGGGGAGCAAACAGGAUUAGAUACCCGCGUAGUCCCUGUCUCUUAUAA
rnacentral:rRNA from 1 species